AGAUUGAACGCUGGCGGCAUGCCUUACACAUGCAAGUCGAACGGCAGCACGGGAGCAAUCCUGGUGGCGAGUGGCGAACGGGUGAGUAAUACAUCGGAACGUGCCCAGUAGUGGGGGAUAACCCGGCGAAAGCCGGACUAAUACCGCAUACGACCUACGGGUGAAAGCAGGGGAUCGCAAGACCUUGCGUUAUUGGAGCGGCCGAUGUCAGAUUAGCUUGUUGGCGGGGUAAAAGCCCACCAAGGCGACGAUCUGUA
rnacentral:rRNA from 1 species